AUUGAACGCUGGCGGCAGGCCUAACACAUGCAAGUCGAGCGGAUGAAGGGAGCUUGCUCCUGGAUUCAGCGGCGGACGGGUGAGUAAUGCCUAGGAAUCUGCCUGGUAGUGGGGGAUAACGUCCGGAAACGGGCGCUAAUACCGCAUACGUCCUGAGGGAGAAAGUGGGGGAUCUUCGGACCUCACGCUAUCAGAUGAGCCUAGGUCGGAUUAGCUAGUUGGUGGGGUAAAGGCCUACCAAGGCGACGAUCCGUAACUGGUCUGAGAGGAUGGUCAGUCACACUGGAACUGAGACACGGUCCAGACUCCUACGGGAGGCAGCAGUGGGGAAUAUUGGACAAUGGGCGAAAGCCUGAUCCGGCCAUGCCGCGUGUGUGAAGAAGGUCUUCGGAUUGUAAAGCACUUUAAGUUGGGAGGAAGGGCAGUAAGUUAAUACCUUGCUGUUUUGACGUUACCAACAGAAUAAGCACCGGCUAACUUCGUG
rnacentral:rRNA from 1 species